rnacentral:rRNA from 1 species
UAAGGAAUAUUGCUCAAUGGGAGAAAUCCUGAAGCAGCAACGCCGCGUGGAGGAUGAAGGGUCUAUGACUUGUAAACUCCUGUAAAGAAGGAAAAAAUUCCCAUUAGAUGGGAGAUGAUGGUACUUCUGGAGUAAGCCCCGGCUAACUACGUGCCAGCAGCCGCGGUAAUACGUAGGGGGCAAGCGUUGUCCGGAUUUACUGGGUGUAAAGGGUGCUCAGGCGGAUUUGUAAGUCAGAGGUGAAAUCUUACAGCUUAACUGUGAAACUGCCUUUGAUACUGCAAUCCUAUAGUAUGGAAGAGAGUGAUUGAAUAUCUGGUGUAGCAGUGAAAUGCGUAGAUAUCAGAUAGAACACCAAUGGCGAAGGCAGUCACUUGGUCCAUUACUGACGCUAAAGCACGAAAGCGUGGGUAGCAAACA